UAUUUUUUUGCAGAAGAGCGUCAUGAUCCUCAAAUGGACCCUUUGAUAGCUAAACUAUAUAACAGGUAAUGAUGUGUUCUCUCCAUUCCUUUUAUUUUUGUAGUAUGUUUCUCACUGCUUCUGGGAAUGAUAUUAAUUGCAGUGUUGCCAAGCUUAUGAGUGAAUACACGGUUGGAAAAAUGCCAAGAGCAUUUGUGCGGAUCACAAAUGCUCAUUUAGAUCCACUUAGUUUAUCGUGUUUUAAAUGAGUUGCCCUCUUGAAAUCAACUAAUUGAAUGGGUUUUGAGUAUUGAUUAAACUCUAUAUAGAUGUACGAUAUGUGCUGAGUGAAUUCAAUGUUUCAGAAACUUAUUAUUUUUUACUAAGAUUGAUUUAAACAAGAAGCAUCAGUGUUAUAGUCAGAGCCAUCUAAGCUCCUGUUCCUAUUAACCUUUGAAUGAAACUUAUUAUUUUUACUAAGACUGAUUUAAACAAGAAGCAUCAAUGUUAUAGUUAGAGCCAUCUAAGCUCCUGUUCUUAUUAACUUUUGAAUUAAAAUU
rnacentral:lncRNA from 1 species